UGGCGGGAGGGUGAGUAAUGUCUGGGAAACUGCCCGAUGGAGGGGGGUAACUACUGGAAACGGUAGCUAAUACCGCAUAACGUCGCAAGACCAAAGAGGGGGACCUUCGGGCCUCUUGCCAUCGGAUGUGCCCAGAUGGGAUUAGCUAGUAGGUGGGGUAACGGCUCACCUAGGCGACGAUCCCUAGCUGGUCUGAGAGGAUGACCAGCCACACUGGAACUGAGACACGGUCCAG
rnacentral:rRNA from 1 species